rnacentral:rRNA from 1 species
GACGAACCGUGCGAACGUUGUUCGGAAUCACUGGGCUUAAAGGGCGCGUAGGCGGGUUCGCAAGUCUGUGGUGAAAGCCUCCAGCUUAACUGGAGAAGUGCCAUGGAUACUGCGAAUCUUGAGGAGGGUAGGGGCAUCUGGAACGGUCGGUGGAGCGGUGAAAUGCGUUGAUAUCGACCGGAACUCCGGUGGCGAAGGCGAGGUGCUGGACCCUUUCUGACGCUGAGGCGCGAAGGCCAGGGGAGCAAACGGG